GUUCGAUUCAAUUUGCUCAUUUUCUGUACCUAUUUUGUUAGUACCUGGAUUUGUUCCUAACUCGAGUAGAUGGCCUGCGGAGAAGAAUCAUCAGUAAUGAAGAUGAGAAUGUCUUGCAUUAUUCUUUAAUAAGGGAAACAUUUCAGAAUGCAUCGGAUUACCUCUCACCACACUUGAAGAACACGGAAGCAUUUGUGCGAUUGCAUGCUUACUGGGCACGUUUGGAGCUAAGGUUAGGAAAAGAUUUGGUGCCAGCUCGUGGAGUUUGGGAGAGUUUGCUUAAGAUCUGUGGUUCAAUGUUGGAAGCCUGGCAAGGUUAUAUCGCAAUGGAAAUAGAGUUAGGCCACGUGAAGGAGGCUCGGUCCAUAUAUAAGAGAUGCUACAGUAAAAGAUUUCCUGGGACUGGUU